UACAUGGGGUGCAAACGUUGCUCGGAAUUAUUGGGCGUAAAGCGCGCGUAGGCGGUUACUCAAGUCGGAUGUGAAAGCCCUCGGCUUAACUGAGGAAGUGCACCCGAAACUGAGUAGCUAGAGUACUAAAGAGGGUCGCGGAAUUCCCGGUGUAGAGGUGAAAUUCGUAGAUAUCGGGAGGAACACCGGUGGCGAAGGCGGCGACCUGGGUAGAUACUGACGCUGAGGAGCGAAAGUGUGGGGAGCGAACAGG
rnacentral:rRNA from 1 species